rnacentral:rRNA from 1 species
AGCGAACGCUGGCGGCAGGCCUAACACAUGCAAGUCGAACGACCCCUCCGGGGUUAGUGGCGGAUGGGUGUGUAACAUGUGGGACCGUGCCUUUAGGUUUGGAAUUCUACAGGGUAACUUGUGCUAAUACAGAAUGUGUUCUUCGGAGGCAAGAUUCAGCGUCUGUAGUGCGGCGCGCGUCCGUUUAGCUUGUUGGUGGUGGUAAUGGCGCACUAAGGCUAGGAUCAGUAAGUGGUCAGGGAGAAUGAUCAGCCACAUUGAGACUGGGACACGGCCCAAACUCCUGCAGGAGGCAGCAGUGGGGAAUCUUGCGAAAUGGGCGAAGGCCUGAAGCAGCCAGGCCUCGUGAAUGAUGAAGGUCUGAGGGAAGAAAAAUACUUUCACCGGGGACGGUAAUGACGGUACCCGAAGAAGAAGCCCCGGCUAACUUCGUG